ACUCAAAGGAAUUGACGGGGGCCCGCACAAGCGGUGGAGCAUGUGGUUUAAUUCGAUGCAACGCGAAGAACCUUACCUACCCUUGAAUCCACGGAAUCUUGCAGAGAUGCGAGAGUGCCUUCGGGAACCGUGAGACAGGUGCUGCAUGGCUGUCGUCAGCUCGUGUCGUGAGAUGUUGGGUUAAGUCCCGUAACGAGCGCAACCCUUGUCCUUAGUUGCCAGCACAUAAGGUGGGAACUCUAAGGAGACUGCCGGUGAUAAACCGGAGGAAGGUGGGGACGAAGUCAAGUCAUCAUGGCCCUUACGGGUAGGGCUACACACGUGCUACAAUGGUUGGUACAACAGGAGGCGAAAUCGCGAGGUGGAGCAAAUCCUCAAAAGCCAAUCGUAGUCCGGAUUGAAGUCUGCAACUCGACUUCAUGAAGCUGGAAUCGCUAGUAAUCGUGGAUCAGAACGCCGCGGUGAAUACGUUCUCGGGCCUUGCACACACCGCCCGU
rnacentral:rRNA from 1 species